UAGAGAAGAAGCUACAGUUACAGCAAUUAGUUGUUACCUAAUAGAAAGUGAACAAAUUUUCACCUUCCCUAA
rnacentral:tRNA from 1 species